GAUGAACGCUGGCGGCGUGCCUAAUACAUGCAAGUCGAGCGAAUGGAUUAAGAGCUUGCUCUUAUGAAGUUAGCGGCGGACGGGUGAGUAACACGUGGGUAACCUGCCCAUAAGACUGGGAUAACUCCGGGAAACCGGGGCUAAUACCGGAUAACAUUUUGAACCGCAUGGUUCGAAAUUGAAUGGCGGCUUCGGCUGUCACUUAUGGACGGACCCGCGUCGCAUUAGCUAGUUGGUGAGGUAACGGCUCACCAAGGCAACGAUGCGUAGCCGACCUGAGAGGGUGAUCGGCCACACUGGGACUGAGACACGGCCCAGACUCCUACGGGAGGCAGCAGUAGGGAAUCUUCCGCAAUGGACGAAAGUCUGACGGAGCAACGCCGCGUGAGUGAUGAAGGCUUUCGGGUCGUAAAAACUCUGUUGUUAGGGAAGAACAAGUGCUAGUUGAAUAAGCUGGCACCUUGACGGUACCUAACCAGAAAGCCACGGCUAACUACGUGCCAGCCGCCGCCGUAA
rnacentral:rRNA from 1 species